UACAGAGGUCUCAAGCGUUGUUCGGAUUCAUUGGGCGUAAAGGGUGCGUAGGCGGCGCGGUAAGUCGGAUGUGAAAUCUCGGAGCUUAACUCCGAAACUGCAUUCGAUACUGCCGUGCUUGAGGACUGGAGAGGAGACUGGAAUUUACGGUGUAGCGGUGAAAUGCGUAGAUAUCGUAAGGAAGACCAGUGGCGAAGGCGGGUCUCUGGACAGUUCCUGACACUGAGACACGAAGGCCAGGGGAGCAAACGGG
rnacentral:rRNA from 1 species